AGGAAUCCAUUUUAAGAUAUGAUAACUUUGUUAGAGAACAUCAAAAUUUUGAUUUAAGCUAUAAAGAGUUUAUUGAUUUAGUUAAAUGUCUGUCAGAAGAACUAAAACAACAUAGUGAAAUUGUUGGUGAUUUAGGGCUUUUACAAGUAUAUAUAAUAACUAUAUAAUUACUAAUUUUCUUUCUGAAAUUAUUUAAUUUAAUUAUUUAUAUAUAAAGGCAAGACAAAAGAAACUAUUGGCAAUAUCUGACUCAAAAUGUCAACAAAGUGUACAAUAUGAGUCUCUUGCAAAUAUGGCAGAAAAACUAUACGUCCAAACUUCUCCAGAUGGAAGAGAAAUCAUACGACAACAAAUGAAGUAUGUAUAAAUUAAUUUUAUAUAUAAAUGGUCUAUGAUAUUAAUUUAUUUAAAUUUAAGGGAUUUGAGAAUUUCAUGGGAGUUAGUUUCUGAAAGUUUACAAUCAAGUCUUGAAAAACUAGAAAAUUGCUUAUUGCAGUUUGCAGAGUUUUCACUAUCACAAGAACAAUUAACUAAGUGGCUCAAAAAUAUUGAGCAAGCUAUGCAACAACACACUGAAACAAAAGCCACUUUACAAGAGAAAAAAGCUCAACUUCAGGUACUUGCAUUGUAAAAUCUGCCUAAAAAGAUUAUUUUAUAGUAUAUUAUUAUUUUUAAUCAUAUUUAUUUGGAAAUUAGAACCACGUUGUAAUAAAUCAAGAAAUAUUGUCUCAUCAAACACUUGUACAAUCAGUAUGCGAUAAGGCUCAAGAACUUGUAAAUCAAACUAGGGAUAAUACUUUAAAUACAUAUUUAGAAUCAAUUAAAUACCUAUAUGAAAAAAUUGUUACGAAAUCUAAGGUGAUUUUUUAUUAUAAAUUACAGAUAUUUAGUAAAUUCAAAUUAAAUAAUUUUGUGAUUAACUAGGAGCUAAUGGACUCAUUAGAGCUUUCAGUUCAAAAUCAUUCAGAAUUUAAUCUUGUUUGUCAAAAACUUAGGCUGAUGAUAAAAGAACAACGUGAUAAAAUAAGAGAUAGUGACAACAUUGCUGUUGAAAAAGACAUAAUUGUCAAAAAAAUUAAUAUUUUUAAAGUAAAUAUAUACUGGAAUAUAAAUAAUUUGUGUUCAUAAUUUGAAUAUUAUAAUCCUGUUGUAGGAAAUGAAAACAUCAAAUAUAACAGAAAAUGAUUUACAAAAUCAUCUUGAACAAAUAUUUCAGUUAGUAAGCAAAUCAACUACAAAAAAAGGAAUUAAUGUUAUGAAAAAAGAAAUAUCAAAAAUAGAUAGUGAUAAGUCACAAUUAAUAGUACAACUUGGUAAAUAAUAUUAAAAUUUACUUUUUAUAAUCACCCACACAUAAUAGCUAAAAACAAUUUUUUCACUUAUAGUUAGUGAAUCUUUUAAAAGAUUUAAUCUCAAAAGGCCUGUAAAAAAAACUUACUUAAUUCUUGUAUCCCAUUUAAGAUUUAUUUAUUAUAAAUUUAACUUAUUGAUAUUGAAUUAAUAUAUAUAUUAUUAAAUGUUUAUUAAAUCUCUAAUUAGAUUAGCUUAUAAUUGUUAUUAAUGUAUAAGAUAAGUUUAUAAUAAUAAACUUUGGUUUCAGAUACUAUUAUUGAAAAAAUGGAGGAUAUUUUGGUGCAAUGGACUGAUUUUGAAAAUGAAUUUGAGGAAAUAACAAGUUGGUUCAGAUCAACAGAAUUGCUUAUUAAAGAUCAACAACUACAAGCAACAUUUGAAACCAAGGAAAAUAAAUUCAAACAUUUUACGGAAAAACGAAAUGAAGUAUUACAAUAUGAACCAAAAAUUGAGAAAUUUAUCGAUAAUUCUAAUAAUUUGUUACACACAAGUGGAGUAGAACGUCUAAAACCACUUAUACUUCAAGUAGGAAACCGGUAAGAAAAACAUAAUUAGUUUAAAAAAAAAUGUUUGUAUUAUAAAUUUGUUUAUUGUAAUAUCAAUAAUUAUUUAUGUGUACCAGGUAUCAAUUACUUCUAGUUUUAAGUAAAGAAAUAGUGGCUAAAUGGCAAAACAUUUCUGAUGACCAUAAGAACUUUAAUGAUAAGUUGGCUGAAUUCAAAUUAUGGUUAGAAAUAUUAGAAAAUAAACCUGAUCCAAUUUUGAAUGAUGAUAAUUUAGAUUUAAAUAAAAAAUUAUCACAAUUACAAAGUUUGUAUAGUAGUUCUGAUCAAACAUCAUCAAAAAUUUCAUUUUUAACUUCUUUGGGUGAGAGUUUAUACCCUGAUACAUCUGCUACAGGACGAGAAAUCAUUAGGCAACAACUUACAGAAAUUCGUGAAAGGUAUCUUAAAUAUUUUUAUAUUGUUAAUUUAGAAACAUUUCUACAAAAAAUGUUUAUUGUAACUGAUUUAUUUAUUAUUAACAGAUGGGAUACAUGGGAUGAAAAAAUUAAAACUGCUCAAAAAUCUCUAGGAGUACAAUCCCAACAAUGGAAUAGUUAUCAAGAAACCCUUUUACAAACUAUAAAUUGGUUGGAAAGUGUAGAAAAAGCCAUUGCCUCUAAUCAAACAUCUAUAUGGUCUUCUCUACAAGAAAUAAGAUCAAAACUUUUAAAGCAAAAAGUAAAUAUACAAAAUAAAAUAAAAUAAAAUGCUACUAAUCAAUAUCAAUUAUAUUAUAGGUAAAUAAUUCAUUUUUUUUUUUUUAGGCCACAAUGCAAGAAAUAAACUCUCAUAGUCGGAUGAUUGAAACAAUAUUGGAGAAAGGAAAAACAAUUAAGAAACCUAAAGAUGAAAAUAAUUCAGAAAUAUCAUUGAAGGAUAGAUAUGAUUUAUUACGUGAAAAAAUGAAUAAUUCUAUUUCACAAUUAGAGAAUUACUUAGAAACCUAUCAGCAAUAUCAAGACUUACUUAAAUCAUAUCAAGAUACUCAAAAACAGCUUUGGGAUCAACUUUCAAUAUAUACAGGUUUAUAAAUCAUAAUGUUAUUAUCAUUCUAGAACUUUAAUAAUAAUGUAAAAAUUAAAAUUAUUUUAGAUUAUUCAGGAAAUAAACAAAUUUUAGAAAUGCGAUUGAAUAAAGUUAAUGUUAUACAAACUACUUUUGAUAACAAUAAAACAACUUUAAUGGCAAUGGAACAUUUUAUUGAAAACUUAAAGGAUACAAUUCCACAAAAAGCAAUUGAUAUGAUGUCGAGGGAUCAUACAAAUUUACAGUAAAAAUUUUAAAAAAAGAAGCUAGUUGAAGAUAUAAUUAGAUACACCUAAUUUCAUUAUAGAUUUGAACAAGAAAAGUUCCAGUCAUUGUUAAAUGAUUUAUUAGAUGGUUUACAAAGUAGAAUAGUUCAAUGGGUAGAGUUUGAAAAUUUAAUUCAUCAGUUAGCUUCAUGGCAUAAUGAUACAGAAAAAAAGUUACAAAACUAUUCAGAGAAGGGUACACUUGAAGAAAAAACACAACAAUAUAAUAAAUUUCAGGUAUAAAUUUUAUAUUUAAUUCACACAAAAGAGAAAUACUAGGUUUUAUCUACACUCACACUCAUCAUUAGUGUUAUCUUAAUAUAAAUAUAUAGAUAUUAUGUUUUUAUAUGAUUUAUUAUUAUUACUUAUAAUAAUAUAUAAUUAACAGUGGGUGUAACAUAUGGUGGAUAUUGGUGUUAAAACAUCCCAAAUAUCAGAAAAAUAAACAACUAAUAAUAAAAAUUCCAUUGAUUUAAAAUGUAUUUUAAGUUAUUAACGUAAGAAAUUCUAAUGAGAUCCUUUAUUUUUUCUGAGUCAUAGUUUUGUAUUGUGUCAGUGUUACAAUAUGUAAUUAAAAUAAUAACAAUGAAAUUAAAAUACAAAUGAAUAAUUUAUUAAAUUAAUAGGUAUAAUAAUUUUGUAAAUUAAUAUUAUUAUAGUAUUAUAAAAUUUAGUUUUGAAUUUAAUUUAGGAUUUAGAAAAAGAAAUUAAAGGAAAAUUGAACGCAGUGAAGGAUUUAAUUGCAUAUGGUGAUCAUCUUCAACAAGUAAGAUUUAUUCAAAGAAAAUGAAUAUUGCAUGCACCGUGUUAUUAAUUUUUUUAAUAAGCCAAGUAUAAUUUGACACAAAAAUAUUGUCAAAUAAAACAAAUUAUAUAAUUUCACUUUAAUUUAUAAAUUGUAUAUAAUUGUUUAUAAAAAAAUACUUUUAAGAUUAUUUUAAAUUUAAAAUAUUGAUUAAUGUUAAUUUGUUACUAUGUUAUAGUCAUUAUUGGAUGACAUGAAAAAGAAAGAUUUAAAUGUUGAUAAACUUAUUGAUCAAGCUAAUGAACAAGAGGCAACAGGUGAAGCACGAUUAUCAACCAGAGUCAAACAGAUAUCAUCUCGUUAUCAAUCGAUGCAAACUACCAUUAAAGUAAAAAUAAAUAAUGUUUUAAAUUAGUUAAAAUUAAUUUGUUUUAUAUUAUUUCAGGACAUUUUAAAUAAAUGCCAUGAAUCGAUUAAAAUUCAUCAAGAAUAUAUAGACAAGUAUAAUGAAUGUUCUAUUCAAUUUUCAAACAUUCAAAGUCAAUUUAAAAAUGUCAAUGAACCUCCAUUAUCCUCACAAGCUAUACAUCAAUAUUUAAUUCAGAAAAAUGGAAAAUUAAAUGAAUUGUUAGAUACAAAACCAAAUGUUACAUCUUUGUUGAAUAAUUGUAUUGAAUUAGGAGAAAAAUUAUAUUUGAGUACAUCUAUAUCUGGAAGAGAUGACAUUAAACGUCAGUUAGAAGAACUUCAAAUCCUAUUUGAUACUUUAUAUGAUGAUCUUUUAAAUAUUAAUAGAGAUGUUAAAGAUCAAUUAACUAAAUGGAGUGGAUUUGAAGAGCUAUAUAAUGAAUUAAAUAAAUGGUUCAACAGCACUAAACAAAUAUUAAAUAAAGAUUUAGUGCUUAAAUCUACUUUAGAUGAAAAAAAAAUGCAAUUACAAAUCUAUAGAGACAUGCUACAAGCUACAUUAAAAAGGAAACAAGAUAUUGUGAAAUUACAUGAUCUUACUGACAGAAUGCAAAUGCGAGAAAAUAAUGAUAUUCUUAUAUCUUCUAUGAAUAAACAACAUGAUGACAUUUUAAAACUAAUUCAAGACUUUGUUGAUAAAUAUGAAGCAAUUGUAAAAGACCAUGAACAAUAUACUAAGUCUGUAAUGGAAAUGCAAGAAUGGCUUGACGCAACUCAUAAUACAAUAAUACUCUGGGGUGAUACAAAUUUAGAAAAAAUUUCUUUAUUGAGUAAUUUAGAUCGAAUUAAGGUAAAUAAGAAUUGAAGUUAUUGUCCAUUAUAAAUAUUUCAUACUUAUGAUUAAUUUUGUGUUUAUUAUGUAUAAUCAUAUUUUUCAGAAUUUAUUAUUAAGCCUUACAGAAGAAGAAAAUAGAAUUCAUAAUAUACAAAAACUAGCUGAAAAAGUUAUACCUGGUACAGUGGAAAAUGGACAAGUGAAUAUUAGGGCACAAAUUGACUCAUCACAACAAGAUUGGGAAGGACUUAUUACUACAGUAAAGUAAGAACACAGAUAUAUAAAUAUGUGUAAUGAGUAUGCUCUUUCUUAUAUGUUUUUUAGAAUAUUUUAGUAAUAAUAAUGUAGUUUUAAUUGUACAAAAUAAAAUUGGAACAUUAUUUUUUUUAAUAAAUAUAACUAUAUAGUAUAUAUUAUCUUUAUUAUUCUAUGAAAAAAAUAAAUUAUAUGUUUAGAUCAUCAAUAGAAGCUUUAGAAAAUAAACUUAAUAGUUGGAAUGAAUUUGAUACACUUAAGGAAUCAUGUUUAAUAUGGUUACGAGAAACUGAUUAUAAAAUACAUGCUAUUGAUUUGAAAAACUCAUUACAAGAAAAGAAAACUCAGCUUGAAGAACUUAAGGUUGUUUUAAUAAUUAUAUAAUUUAAAUAUACAAUUUAUAUUAUUAUAUUUUAAUUAUUAUUUAUAAUAAAUAACUAUAUAUAUAUUAAUUAUAGGAUUUACAAGGAGUAAUUCGAGCUAAAGAAUUUGAGAUUGAUUCAAUUACUGAAAAAUCACAAAAUCUGUAUACAAUGUCUAUGUCAAGUAAAAAUUCUCAGAUUACAGAAAUUGUUCAAAAAUUUCAUCAGCUUUCAAUGAAAAUAAAAGUAUUUGUGUUAAUUAUUAUUAAUUUUUAAAUUAUAAUUUAUUGGUUUUUUUUUUUAUAAUUUCAAGGAAUUGGUUGGGAAAUGGCAACAAUUUGUUAACAACCACUUAGAAUUUGAAAGUAGUCUAAGUGAAGCUAUUAUUUGGUUGGAUACUGUUGACGAUAAACUCACAAGUUGUACAGAUUUUAAAUCCACUAGUAAAGCUGAUUUAGAAGAAAAACUCAUUGUCAUCCAAGUAAAUAUAAAAAACUAAUAUUAAUAUAGUUAAAGUAUACAUUUAACUACAUCUAGAACAAUGAUUUAUUUAUUAUAAUUUUGAAGUAUUCAAAUAAAUUUAAAACAUUAGUUUUAAUUCUAUAUAAUAGUUAUUACAGUUAAAAUCUCUAUUAAUGGACACCUCUCAAUAAUGAAUCCUUCCUAAUAGUGAACACUUUUAAAUUCCCCUGCAUAAAUGUAUAUAAUAAGAGUUAUAACCUCUUAAUAGUGGAUGUGGACACUUAGAACUGGUACCAAAAUUAAAAAUUACCUCUUAUAAAUGGACACAAUACAUGUACAUACCGAAAAUGUUUAAGUAAUAAAAAUAUCAUACAUAUUUAUUUUUAUAAAUUUUGUUUAUAUUUUAUGUUAUCUUAAGAGAACGUUAUCUUGCAUUUACUGUUUCAGUGCAACUACCAAGUAACAUACAAAAACAAUGCUUAUGCGGAAUAGGUAAAAACAAGCUUAAUUUUGAUUUUAGAGUAAAAGUACCUAUUAUUAUGAAAUUUAUAAAGAAUAAUAUUUUAGAGAGAAUGUCAUAGAUGUUUUUUGAAUUGUGAAAUAUUAAAAAAUAAAAAAUAAUAAAGGUUUUUGUAUCUUUUAUAUCGAGCUUUAUAUUUUGAAUAAUACAAAAUCCCUAUGAAAUUCCUUCCAAAUAUUGUUCUCUAUAAAUUUAAUUAUACAUACUUUUACUCUAAAAUCAAAAUUAAACUAGUUUUGCUUAUUCUGUGUAAUCAUUGUUUUUGCAUGUUACCUACCCGGUAGUUGAACUGAAAUAGUAUAUGUGAGUAUAACGUUCUCUUAAUGGUUUUCCUAUUCGAUAAAUGACAAAUGGUUUGGUUAUGUGUUCGGUCAUCAGUUGUGUACUAAAAACAUGUACACAAAAAAAGAUUACAGAUUUUUUUUAAUUGUGCAUAAACAUAUAUCAUUUUUAUAUCCACUUUUUAAUACAUGUACCUUCAUAUAUAUAUAUAUAUUUAUUAUGUAUAUAAUAAAUAAUAAAUACAAAUUAAAUUUAAUAUUAAUCAUAUUAUAUCAAUUAAUUAAUAUAUUUCAGUAUAAUAAUAAUACAUUUUUUAUAAAUUAUAAUAAAUAAUACCAAUUUUAAUGUACAUGUAUAUGUAUAGCUAAUUCUCUAUAGCGCCUUCCUAUAAUGAACGUUUUGUAAUUUCUCGUAAAUAUUCACAAUAUAGACUUUUCAUUGUAUAACAUUAAGUAAGAAAACAUAAAAGAUUAAAAAUGUUUUUUCUCAAAACAUUAAAUUUCUUAUGGAUUCUCACUCAAACACAAAAUAAUAUAUUUUAUUAUUGUGAAAAUUAAUUAUAGUAAUUUAUAUUUUAUAUUUUUUAGGAUAUUUUGUUGUACAAAGAUGAUGGUUUUAGUAAAGUGCAAAAUUGUAUUGAAAUAGGCCAGUUAGUUUUAGCGAACACUGCACCUGAAGGACACAAAUCAAUAAAUGAAUCACUUAUAUCUUUACAAGAACAUUGGAGUAGUUUGGCAACAAAGAUGGUUGAAACCAAGGUAAAUACAUAAUAAUAUAUUAUAAUUAGUCAAAAAAUAACAUUUUUGAUUCAUUAAAUUAUAGACGAAUAUUGAUGAAUCGAUUCAACGGUGGUCAGGAUUUUUAGAACAUGUAAAGCAAGUUGGACAAAUAAUAGAUAAAUUUGAAGAAGCAUUACCUGAGUUAGAAGAAUUACAAGGAACUAUGGCUGAAAAAAGGGACCAAUUAGAGAAAUUAAAAGUACAUAUAAUUUUUAUAAAUAAAUAAUAUAAUUUUUAGUACCAUUUAGAGCUAAAUAUAUAUUUAAUUCCAAAUAAGUUAAGAAAUUAUUGGUAAAGUACUGAUGUAUUUCAAAAUGUAUAUUUUAAUCAAUUGAUAAAAUUCUAAUUUUGUUUCUUUUUUCUAUAUAGAACUCUUAAAUUAAAUCUAUUCAAAAUUAUUUAUACUAAAGUGAACUGUAGAUCCUGGUAAAAAUGUAUCUUUAUUUUGGAUUUAAUGAAAAAAUGAGUUCAUAUAAAUUAUAUAUAAUUAAUUUAAUAAUGUUAUAAAUUAAUAAUAAUUGUUAUAAAAAAAGUUAAAAAAGCUAAGGGGGGUAUGCCACUGUUGUUGGUAGGAAGUUGGGAAGAUAGGAUACAUAAAUUUAUUUAAUUUAUAUCUAUAAGGAACAAUAAACUGUUAUUAACGAUAAACAAUACGGAGAGAAGUUUGGUUAUACAUGUUUUGAAAGGCCAUAAUAUUUACAAUUUAAUAUAAAUUACACUCAAUUUUUUUUCCCACUAAGUACAACUUAAAAUGAGAAUCCUGUUAAAUCAUUAAGUAUUUUUGUUUAGUUUAAAAAUUUUAUCCACAUUUGUAGGUUUCUACAAAAUAAAAAUUAGGUUCAAAACUAGUUCAAAUGUUUUUAAAAAUGUAUAGAACAAAGUUCUGGUAGGUUUAGUUAGAGAAAAGGAAGUGUGAUGGGCUGUAGAAGCAAUGAAAAAGAAAAACAUUAAGUCCAAAUAGAGUACCAGUGGAAGUGUGGAAAAUGUUAGGGGAGUUCAGCACAAUAUGCUGGUUAAAAGAUUUGUUUUAAUUAUGUUCUACUAGAAGGAAAAAUACUAGAUGAAUGGAGAGUUUCGUAGUACUUAUAUUUAAUGGGAUAAAAAAGUUAUAAAAAGUAUGAAAAUUAUAAAGAAAUAAAGUUGUUGAAUCAUAGUAUGAAGAUUUGUGAAAGUUUAUAAAAAAAGUGAAUAAAAAGUGAAAUUAUAUAUGGCUUAUAGAUUUAGAGAAGGCAUAUGGCAUUGUACUGACAGUUUUUCUGAUAAUAGAUAAAGUAGUAGGUAGGUACUAGUUUUUACAAAAAAAUAUUAUUAUAAAUAUAGUAAGUUUAUGACAUUUUUAAUUUGCAUUUUCUUAUAUAAAAAUUAUAAGCAUUUGAUUGUUUUUUUUAGCAUUUGGAUGAAAAAGUUCGUUGUGAAAAGUUGGAAAUGGAUUCUUUGAAAUUAAAAGCACACGAGAUGCUAAAAACAGGCCAUCAAAGCAAUGCUGUUGCAGGAACACAAGAAGUAUUUGAUAAGUUUGACAGAAUUUCAGAUAAAGUGAAGGUAAAUUUAUUAUAUGUAGAUAAUUAUUCAAUUUUUUAGUUUUGUGUUUUAAUCAAUUAAAUUUAAUUUUAGAAAUUACUCAACCAACGUGAACAACAAUAUAAAGAUCAUAAAACAUAUAAGGAAGCAUAUGAAGAAUUAUCUAAUUUCUUAAACAGAUCUCGAGACAAAAUACCAUCAUUAAAAGAACGACCACUUAGUGAUAAAUUAGCUAUUGAAAAUGCCAUAAUGCCAUUAGAGGCUCUUUUGAAUAAGAGAGCUCAAGGUGAAUUACUUUUAGAUAAUUUAAAUACAAUUGGAGACAUUAUAACAGCAAGUACUUCUGAAACUGGAGAGAAAAUUAUCAAACAAGAAAUUUCUAUUAUAACUGAAGAAUUAAAAAAAUUAUUUGACGGUAUAUUAAACAAUUAGAUGUAUUAUAUUAUUAUUACUUAGGUAGGUACUGAUUUUUAUUUUUUCCAUUUAGAUAUAUUAUCUCAAAAAGAUAAUCUCCAUGCUAUUCAUACACAUUGGAGAGAGUAUAAAGAUGAGUAUGAAAAGCUUUCUGAUUGGUUGCAACAAAUUGAUAUAUCAAUGAAAGCUAUUAAAAAUACCCCAUUAGCGACUGUAGUGGAAAAAACAGAUCAAGUAGAACAAAUUCAGGUGAACUCCUUUAUAUGUUCCAUAAACUAUUAAUAAA
rnacentral:lncRNA from 1 species